rnacentral:rRNA from 1 species
CCUACGGGGGGCAGCAGUGGGGAAUAUUGGACAAUGGGGGGAACCCUGAUCCAGCCAUGCCGCGUGUGUGAAGAAGGCCCUCGGGUUGUAAAGCACUUUCAGUGAGGAAGAACGCCUGGUGGUUAAUACCCAUCAGGAAAGACAUCACUCACAGAAGAAGCACCGGCUAACUCCGUGCCAGCAGCCGCGGUAAUACGGAGGGUGCGAGCGUUAAUCGGAAUUACUGGGCGUAAAGCGCGCGUAGGUGGCUUGAUAAGCCGGUUGUGAAAGCCCCGGGCUCAACCUGGGAACGGCAUCCGGAACUGUCAAGCUAGAGUGCAGGAGAGGAAGGUAGAAUUCCCGGUGUAGCGGUGAAAUGCGUAGAGAUCGGGAGGAAUACCAGUGGCGUAGGCGGCCUUCUGGACUGACACUGACACUGAGGUGCGAAAGCGUGGGUAGCAAACAGGAUUAGAUACCCCUGUAGUC